GUCAUCCGGUUUAUGAAAUAUAAAAAUCGCACUCGAUUCAGAUCGGUUUGGGUCGGUUUGACUUUUGAUUUCUAGGGUUUCUGAUUUAGGGGUGAAAGUGGGUGUGUGUAUAUAUGAGCUCCUCCUUCAUCACUGCAUAGCUAUGGCGGCCAUUGAUUGAUUGAUUAUUUAUGAAGUCUUUGCGCGCUAUCUUUGUCAUUUCAAAUGAAUUUGGGUUUUGAUGUUGUUUAAUUAAGUUAUAGUUUCCAAUUAGAAAAAAAAAGUGUUUUGAUGAAUUUGAUUAGAGUUAGGAUUAGAACUGUGUGAUGGUGCAGAGAGGGAGGGAGCAAAUGAUGGGAUACACUUGAUCUCUGAAUUUUAACAGGAUUUUGAAGUCCUUUGUGAAAUUUCUUUUGACUUGUUCAAGGAAUCAUGGAGAGAGUUGGAGCAAGUGUUGUUGGUAAGACUUGUAAUGUAGUAGCAUGAUACAACUCUAACCAUAUAUUUCCAUUCUUUGAUUCAAAUUCUAUAUGCUAGUUCAAGUUGCGGAUGUAGUUGAUGUGUUGCGCUGAGAAGCUGUAUCUCUAUUUCAGAAAUGAGUUCUUUUGUAGUGAUGCAUAACUACACUAGCGAGAUAGAGUGAUUUUAAACGUUUUCGAUGCAAAUAGUUGGAGUAUUUUUCCAUAUUUAUGCCAUGAAUGUUAGCGAAGUA